GUGGCUCUCGCGGGAGAGAUCGAGGUCCUGAUUCCGGGCUUCGGAGCCGAAGGCGCAACCGCCCCGGAAACGCUCAGGCAAAAGGACCGCGACGGCUCA
rnacentral:ncRNA from 2 species